UAUGUUUAAAACUAAAAUUUAUAUUCAGAAAAGAAUACCGAGAUAAAAAAAUAAGUACCCAACUGUCUGUUUUGCUGGCAUUAAACACGCAAAAUUUUAUUUAAUAUCUGGACUCCUUACAAUACAAUGUGCCAUAGCAUUUGAGUUUUUUCUUAUUUCUGCCACGUUCACAAAUUGAACCCACUUUGGCACCAAAAUCAGUAUCAAAGUUCGAUAAUCAAUGUGCUAAUUUGGUGGCCGCCACUGUACAAAUAUCAAGUGCAAUAGGUGUCAAACGAGUGGAAUUUGUACCUAUUUCGAAAAUUGUAUACCGGUGUACUAACGGCAAAGACAAAGGCAUCCUUAGCCUUAUAUGUAGUAUACUUCAUCAACGGGAGGCAAUGUUCUAAUCGCUUCCAUAGAAGCAAACAACUAAAAAAUUAAUUAUUUCGCCAUAGUGAUUUCCAGAUAGUUGCAAAUACACCUGUGAAAUUGAGAAAAAAAAUGAAUCUUAUUUUCAAACUCUUUAUGCUACAUUCAUGUUACAUACCAUUCUGUCUGAAUACUUUGAUGUUGUCAAAAAGCCGAUAGAGAAUAAGUUUCUGGUAUAUCUUAUUAACUGUAAGAAACUGCAUUUUGUGUUAAAUAAAUGUCUUAAACAUGUCUUAAA